GACGAACGCUGGCGGCGUGCUUAACACAUGCAAGUCGAACGGAAAGGCCCUGCUUUUGUGGGGUGCUCGAGUGGCGAACGGGUGAGUAACACGUGAGUAACCUGCCCUUGACUUUGGGAUAACUUCAGGAAACUGGGGCUAAUACCGGAUAGGAGCUCCUGCUGCAUGGUGGGGGUUGGAAAGUUUCGGCGGUUGGGGAUGGACUCGCGGCUUAUCAGCUUGUUGGUGGGGUAGUGGCUUACCAAGGCUUUGACGGGUAGCCGGCCUGAGAGGGUGACCGGGCACAUUGGGACUGAGAUACGGCCCAGACUCCUACGGGAGGCAGCAGUGGGGAAUAUUGCACAAUGGGCGGAAGCCUGAUGCAGCAACGCCGCGUGCGGGAUGACGGCCUUCGGGUUGUAAACCGCUUUCGCAUGUGACGAAGAGUGAGUGACGGUAAUGGGUAAAGAAGCACCGGCUAACUACGUG
rnacentral:rRNA from 1 species